AUUGAACGCUGGCGGCAGGCCUAACACAUGCAAGUCGAACGCGUGGCGCAGGGGUGUGUAAUGUCUGGGAAACUGCCCGAUGUGGGGGGAUAACACCAGGAAACGGUAGCUAAAACCGCAUAUCAUCGGAUGUGCCCAGAUGGGAGUAGCUUGUAGGUGAGGUAACGGCUCACCUAGGGGACGCUCCCUAGCUGGUCUGAGAGGAUGACCAGCCACACUGGAACUGAGACACGGUCCAGACUCCUACGGGAGGCAGCAGUGGGGAAUAUUGCACAAUGGGCGCAAGCCUGAUGCAGCCAUGCCGCGUGUAUGAAGAAGGCCUUCGGGUUGUAAAGUACUUUCAGCGGGGAGGCGUUACCCGCAGAAGAAGCACCGGCUAACUCCGUGCCAGCAGCCGCGGUAAUAC
rnacentral:rRNA from 1 species